rnacentral:lncRNA from 1 species
GGCACCUUCCCACCUGUUUCUGAGGAGUGAGGUGUCGCGAGGGUCAUUCCUUUCCCCAGGGGCCAAGCAGUCAGGGAGGGGGCAAUGGGGAUUGGCAUCGAGGUCUGUCUCGAGGCCAAAGUUCAAAGGUCAGAGGGCAGGGGGAAGCGGAGGGGGGGAGGCCUGGCUCACCUGUGUUGUUUCCUUGCAGCCCCCACCCCUGCCUCUGCCCCCGCCCCCAAAGCCUGAGUCCGAGAAUCACGAGUACCAGGACCUGCUAAACCCUGACCCUGCCCCGUACUGCCAGCUGGUGCCCACCCCCUGA